rnacentral:rRNA from 1 species
AGUGAACGCUGGCGGUAGGCCUAACACAUGCAAGUCGAACGGCAGCACAGUAAGAGCUUGCUCUUACGGGUGGCGAGUGGCGGACGGGUGAGGAAUACAUCGGAAUCUACUUUUUCGUGGGGGAUAACGUAGGGAAACUUACGCUAAUACCGCAUACGACCUACGGGUGAAAGCAGGGGAUCUUCGGACCUUGCGCGAUUGAAUGAGCCGAUGUCGGAUUAGCUAGUUGGCGGGGUAAAGGCCCACCAAGGCGACGAUCCGUAGCUGGUCUGAGAGGAUGAUCAGCCACAAUGGAACUGAGGCACGGUCCAGACUCCUACGGGAGGCAGCAGUGGGGAAUAUUGGACAAUGGGCGCAAGCCUGAUCCAGCCAUACCGCGUGGGUGAAGAAGGCCUUCGGGUUGUAAAGACCUUUUGUUGGGAAAGAAAAGCAGCAGGUUAAUACCCCGCUGUUCUGACGGUACCCAAAGAAUAAGCACCGGCUAACUUCGUG